rnacentral:sRNA from 1 species
UCGCAGACACUAUGCUGCCUCCCGUGGCCCUGCCCAGUGUGUCCUGGAUGCUGCUCCCCUGCCUCAUGCUCCUAUCUCAGGAGCCUCUAGCACUGGGUUCCUUAUGAAUCCUCUGCCUCUAGCACUGGGUUCCCUAUGAAUCCUCAGAGCCAAGAAAAGGAGGAAGGCUCCUGUGUGUCACGUGAGGUAAUGACAUGGUGUGUGAUGAAACUGCCUACAGUUCCUGCAUCAUCACUCCUUCCUUCAGGUUAACUUGCAGUGGGAGGCUCCACGGUGGUCCACUAACAAUGGAAUGAGAUGGCUUCCAUUUAGUCAGUGGACUCUAAUAUACACUGGUGGGAAAGUGGACUCUAAUAUACACCAGUGGUAAAGUGUGGAGGGUCAGCAAUGAGAUGUGGGGAGGGACAAUGAUUGGAGGACCCAAUGUAGAGACAGCCCAGAGUGAGGAGAGUAUUGAAUGGUUGAAUAAGGGGAAAGGGUAAUAACAGACUAGAUGGUGGCCCAUUUGGUAGGGCUAUUUUGAGAUAAAGAACUUCUGAAAACACAAGGGAAGACGAAGGGCUGUCAGGAAUGUGGUCUUCCUCCCCAAGGGCAGGCCUAGAUAUUCCCCAAGGUCAUCUCCCACCCACCCCCUACUCUUCAUUUUACUGUCUCCCUUUUCUUCCACCCCAGGUGAAGAACCCCAGAAGGAACUGCCCUCUCCACGGAUCAGCUGUCCCAAAAGCUCCAAGGCCUAUGGCUCCCACUGCUAUGCCUUGUUUUUGUCAGCAAAAUCCUGGAUGGAUGCAGAUCUGGCCUGCCACAAGUGGCCCUCUGGAAACCUGGUGUCUGUGCUCAGUGGGGCUGAGGGAUCCUUCGUGUCCUCCCUGGUGAGGAGCAUUAGUAACAGCUACUCAUACGUCUGGAUUGGGCUCCAUGACCCCACACAGGUGCGAGUAUAUCCUCCCCUCUCUGUUACCUCUCAAGGUGCUAUUGUUGCCCAGGCCCACUCCCUGUCCCCGGUGCCUG